UUUAUCGGCAGACCGAUAAAACUUUCCAAGUGGCCAAGAUUGCCAAACUACUGUUUGCGAUGGAACGUGGGACAGAGUCGCUGAAGGGAAAGAGUCUGCAAACCCUGGACUCUGUUAUCACUGGUAUGUAAAUUAAUAUAUUUUUAAAGUCAUCCCCUUCCAUUUAUUCUUUUCUCCCUCUGUCUUUGUUUCCACGACAGUGUGCAUGUCUUUAUCGGCAUAUUUUCUUUUACCUUCAUAUUUUAGUGUAAAAUUUUGUUUUCUGAUUUCUGACUGUGAAUAUUUCAAAAGGAAGAGCACAUGCAGCCACCUCAACCAAAGAUCUGAAAGGUGGCAAAAAGAGAAGACCAGAUCCAGGGAGACGACAGGAAGCUCAAGAUGAAUGAGAAGUGCCACAUUCAGCUGUAGCAACGAGAUCUGAUGAUGAAGAUGAUGGAGGCGGUAACAGUACCAACUUGGACACUGAAAACACAGGCACCUACAAAAGGCCACCGAAGAUGCAGUCAAUUAAAGAAAGAAAUUAUGCUGAUGACGCUGAUGACGAAAUGAGUGAUGUUUCUGGCAGUGAAUAUGGCGAUGGAGGGGUGUGCCAUAAGACAGUUAAGAAGACUGUCAAGAAAAAAAAGACAAUGUUGGGAAGACAUGGAUUGGUCUAUGACGCAUCUUUCACACAUGGCCAAGAACAACCAUCAACAUCAGGGAGCGCCACCAAACGAAAGAGGAUUGCAACACUUACACAUGACGACGAUGAUGUUGAAGACAGCGAUGAAGAGGACAAAAAGACUGGACACAGAUCUCUUGGGAAGAAGAAGACAGCAGUUCGAAAAGAACAUAGUGAAGUUGAAUUGGAAACUAAAAAAAGGAAGAGACCCGGACUCCAAAGGAAAGAGCAGCAAUUGCUCGACACCUUUCAAAAUUUGUAGCAUUAAAGAAAGUUCCAAGGAAAGAUGACUGCGUUAAGUGUCGUAGUCAAGCAUCGCCAGACCUUGAAGACCGCACAUGGAGAGAUAUUCCACAAUGAAAUUAUUAAAAGAUAUGUAAUUGG